rnacentral:rRNA from 1 species
AACGUAGGACACAAGCGUUAUCCGGAAUUACUGGGCGUAAAGGGUGCGUAGGCGGCGCGGUAAGUCGGGUGUGAAAUCUCGGAGCUUAACUCCGAAACUGCAUUCGAUACUGCCGUGCUUGAGGACUGGAGAGGAGACUGGAAUUUACGGUGUAGCGGUGAAAUGCGUAGAUAUCGUAAGGAAGACCAGUGGCGAAGGCGGGUCUCUGGACAGUUCCUGACGCUGAGGCACGAAGGUCAGGGGAGCAAACGGG